GGUCCCUGCCUCAAGGGCACUCUCAUUGCUUUUUCUUUUCAUUCUCAUUGCUUUUUUUUCUUAACCGGACCAACAAGGCCUAGCCAGAUGUGGCUCAUCUACUCUCUCCAGGCUCAUUCAAGGCUUUCUUCUCAGCUGUCCACACUCAACCACACCCCACCGCGGCCUUUCUCUCCUCAUUGCAUUUGGCUGUGCUCUUUCCUCCGCUGGACCCUCAGCUCUGCCCCCAAAGCUUCACCUGCCUAACUCCUACUGAGCCUUCAGCCUCAGCAUGGACCCUACCUCCUUGCAGAGGCCUUCCCUGAGCCUCCAGACUAGGCCAGGUCCCCUCCCUGGAGAUUUCUGAUUUCGGCCAGGAGUAGCAUUUCCAACAAGCCCCCAAGUGAUUUUUUAAAAAGUAGAAGUUUGGAAGACUCUGCACACUGCUGCCCGGGGCUCUCACAGCGCUCUUCAUUCUCCCGUCUCACUGGGCACACCUGGAACUGAUUAGUUACCUCCCUAAUGGCUGGGUCCACAUCUGUCUCAUCCAAGCCCAGUGGAGGUGGGCAAGAGGCUCAGCUUGGUUCUGGAGGAGGCAGAGGCUACAGGACAUCCAGGUUCCACUGAGAACAAUCAGGAUGCUGGGGAGAGUCAGAGAUCCAGAACUAGGAGAGAUCUUCCAAAGCUCCUGCAGAAAACCAGGAUCUCUGGGCUCCUUCAGCCAACAAACAUUUCCUGGGCACCCAGCAGGGAUACAGCCAUGAUUGAGGCAGACCCCAUCCCUGCCCUCCUAGAGCCUACAAUUCAGCACGUGGCUUGCUGGGAGGAUACACGUCCACCCAUUGUUUCUAUUUCCAACCCUUUGCAGACUUCUCUGAUAAGUCUGCCUGAGCACAGUGGUCCUGACACAGCUGCAUGAUGAGUGGCACCGCUUUGUGAGGCUGUUGGACUAGCGAGGCUUUCCCUGAGUGUGGGUAAGCGAGGACUAGCAG
rnacentral:lncRNA from 1 species